GACGAACGCUGGCGGCGUGCUUUAGGCAUGCAAGUCGAACGCGAAAGCCCCUUCGGGGGUGAGUAGAGUGGCGAACGGGUGAGUAACACGUGGGUAACCUGCCCCUCGCAGGGGAUAACCGGGGGAAACCCCGGCUAAUACCCCGUACGCUUGCUGGGGCGCAUGCUCCGGCAAGGAAAGGGAGCUUCGGCCAUCCGGCGGGGGAGGGGCCCGCGGCCCAUUAGCUAGUUGGUGGGGUAACGGCCCACCAAGGCGACGAUGGGUAGCUGGCCUGAGAGGGUGGUCAGCCACACUGGGACUGAGACACGGCCCAGACUCCUACGGGAGGCAGCAGCCAGGAAUCUUGCGCAAUGGGCGAAAGCCUGACGCAGCAACGCCGCGUGGGCGAUGAAGGCCUUCGGGUCGUAAAGCCCUGUUGUCGGGGACGAAGGGCGAAGGGUUAAUAGCCCCUAGCCUGACGGUACCCGACGAGGAAGCCCCGGCUAACUACGUG
rnacentral:rRNA from 1 species